rnacentral:rRNA from 1 species
GAUGAACGCUGGCGGCGUGCUUAACACAUGCAAGUCGAACGGUGAAGGCGGAGCUUGCUCUGCUGGAUCGGUGGCGAACGGGUGAGUAACACGUGAGCAAUCUGCCCCUGACUCUGGGAUAAGCGCUGGAAACGGCGUCUAAUACUGGAUACGAGCUGCGAAGGCAUCUUCAGCAGCUGGAAAGAAUUUCGGUCAGGGAUGAGCUCGCGGCCUAUCAGCUUGUUGGUGAGGUAAUGGCUCACCAAGGCGUCGACGGGUAGCCGGCCUGAGAGGGUGACCGGCCACACUGGGACUGAGACACGGCCCAGACUCCUACGGGAGGCAGCAGUGGGGAAUAUUGCACAAUGGGCGAAGGCCUGAUGCAGCAACGCCGCGUGAGGGACGACGGCCCUCGGGUUGUAAACCUCUUUUAGCAGGGAAGAAGCGAAAGUGACGGUACCUGCAGAAAAAGCGCCGGCUAACUACGUG